UAUGGAGGGACCAUAUGAAGGUAACCUAAAACAAUUUUUUUUAUAUUUCAUUUGUUGUUUUCGCACUUGAUGUCGAUUGUAAAAAGGCAUCUUUUUGUGUUGGAUUCAUGUGAUCGUUGUCUGUUUUCUAAUUAUGGGCUACAAGUAUAAUAAUAUUUUUUUUCUUUUUAGGCCGCAUGGAUUCCUGAUUUUUGAACUUUAUUCAUAGUUUGUGGUGUAAGUUUUCCAACUCGUUGUCUGACUUAAUAACCUUUUUAACAUAGAUUACACUGUAGUCCCGGAAUUCAAUGAUUCAGGGAGUAAUGGAAACGCUACAGUUGGGACUGAAAAUUCCUCAAGCAAGGACCUAGACUUCACAAAUUCUAGAAAGAGUAGGACUUCGGAGGGUAUGAUAAUCUGUAUGAAUGCAGCAUGACGGAUGGGAUUGAGGUUGGUUCAAACGUGGGUGAAUCGAAUGAUGUGAAUGAGCAUGACGUUGAAGUUGACGCUAAGAUUGCUGAUUUGGAGUACUCUUCCUCUGAAGAGCCUAUGUCUGAUUGUCCAUCCGAUGACGAUGUUGGGUAUCAAUUUCCACAAUUCUGGGCCGAGGUUGACAUGAGUAAUCAACAAUUUGUUGCUAAUUAGCUCUUUACGGAUAUUGUAGAGUUUCGAAAGGCAAUAAGAACUUAUGAAGCUUUGAAUGGGUAUAAUGUCAUACUUAAGGCGAACGACGAGAGACGAGUAUAUGGAGUGCAAACUAUGUUGUAAUUGGAGGACAUGGACAUCCAGCGUAGGUCUAACAUAAAGUCUGCAAGUUAAGUCAUAUACUUUGAUUCACACAUGCAGCCGAGACCAAUAUAGCAAACAUUGGAAUUUUGUCUUUCUGACUGACCGUUAUAUUGAGCAGUUUAAGACAGACCCAAAUGGAAGACUAAGAGUAUACUUGCAAUAGUGAAUGAUGAUAUGAAAACUAAUAUUACCUGGAAUGUUGGCAUGGAAAAUGAGAAAAUAUACAAAGAAAUUAUUACACGAGACAAUUGAUGAGGUGUUUUGUAUGUUGUGGUGUUAUGCUACGGAAGUUUUAAGGAUUAUUCCGGGUUUGACCUUUAUCAUUGCCAACCACAAUCAAGUUUUGCAAGGCAUCUAUGUUUAUUUUGAAGCAUGCAAGAAAGGUUUUGUCAAUGGUUGUAGAAAGGUUAUUGGAGUUGAUGGUUACCAUUUGCUUGGAUGUUUUAGUGGAAUAAUGCUAAAAGUUGUUGGUCAUGAUGCGAAUAAUCCAUAUGAAGAACACAGUUUCAGAUAUUAAAUGUCAUUUUUUAAGGUUUGUAAUAAUUAUUAAUUGUGACUAGGAUUAAUCGGUGAUGUGGCACGCCAUUUGUCGCCAUGCGAGAUUACCAUCCUCUACGCCAACGAGAAAAUUAAUAGGUUUUGGGGAGUGGGAGAUGGAGUGCAACCGAGACAAGUUCAAUGAGCAUUUUAUAGUUCAGCCAACAGUCCAUGACCAAGGUAUAAGUUCACUAAUUUUUGAAACGUUUCACUCUUAUUUCUACUUCAAAAUUUAAAAAAUUUCUGUUCAAAUUAAAUGAAGGCUAAAUAUAUUCACGCC
rnacentral:lncRNA from 1 species